UACGUAGGGUGCGAGCGUUAAUCGGAAUUACUGGGCGUAAAGCGCGCGUAGGCGGUUGUGUAAGUUGGAUGUGAAAUCCCCGGGCUUAACCUGGGAAUGGCAUUCAAAACUGCACGGCUAGAGUGUGGGAGAGGAAGGUAGAAUUCCAGGUGUAGCGGUGAAAUGCGUAGAGAUCUGGAGGAAUACCGAUGGCGAAGGCAGUCUUCUGGCCUAACACUGACGCUGAGGUGCGAAAGCAUGGGGAGCAAACAGG
rnacentral:rRNA from 1 species